rnacentral:lncRNA from 1 species
ACACCGCCGUCCGCGGGCUGAGCUUCAGUGACACCGAAGGGCACUGGCCAACAUGUCAAAACAGUUUUGAUUCCAUGAACCAAAGGGCGCACAAGGUCUAUUGCAAGCUCAGGUGAAGUCGUGGGACUCCAAAGGUAGUGGCUUUCUUGCUGCUGGUCGAUUUGCAUUACAGAGGCCGUUUACUUUCAAUUCCACUUUUACAAAAGUAGUCAAGCUCUGUAUUUCACAGGAAAUUGCUUUGGAGAUGAGGAAACAAACUCUUAUGGAGACCUAAGAGACUGAAGACAUCUGGCGUGGACUACUCUGAUGGUAAAAUUGAAAGUACACCUAAAUUUGCUUUGUUACAGGAUUCUCUUCAGAGGACAAGAGAAGAUGUUACAUUCUCUGCAUGAGGACAAUUCUGCAGCAUCAAAAUCGAAUAAUAUUUGUUUUCUGGCAGCAGAAUUUUGUAUCAUAUUUCUAAAGACAGUAAGCACUUGGGUGGACGUCAAUGAAUACUAAACACUAAUUGAUCUGAUACAGCCGUAUGCACAUACACAGAUAUACAUGGUGGCUUGUAAUGGUUGAAAAAUUACGGUUUGGUUUUAUUAAAAGAUCUGUCACUUUUAGGUCAGAGUGGGAUUUUGGAGGGAUAGUCUCCCACAAUAGAAAACUACCCUGACAACAGUGGUGUUUUGAGGUUGUUUGUUGUUUGGCUUCUUGAUGAUGCUUAGCUAAGGAGACACUUCCUUUCAGAUUCUGUCUUCCAAACCCCAGGGCUCUGUUCUGGGCAGUUCAGCCUAAUGGAAUUAAGCCUGACAUGUUUCAACUCUAUUUCUUGAUAAAAUAAACAUAAAACAAUGGUUUAGAUUUCGAAUAAAACUCUUGAAGCAUGGGGUACUCUAACUUUCCCUGUUCUUUACACAUCUGUAAAUAAAGUGCAUAAAAGAGGAACACAACAGGAUAAAUCAACAUAAAUUUGAAAUCCACUGCAGCAUAUUAAAUGGCGCAGUCUCAGUCAAAGAGAGGCUGACCCCGCGGCUUCGUGCAGUUUGAAGCUAAUUGUUUUCGUCAGGAUGGGAACGUCUGGAAGUCCAUGGCUGUAUCCCACCAGUAAGGCUCCAGUAACUGAGCCGGCCCACAGAGAAUGGGCCCACUUUGUAGCGACACAGCGGGCUCAGACACCACCUAUUCUGCUCUCCAAACUGUCAUGCAUAACAACUUUAUUGUGCUAAAUUGAACUUGAAAGCAACCAAAGGCUAUGAGAAGGAGAGGCUAUGAGAAAAGCGUGCUGUCAGCGCCGGCAAAGGCUGACCUGGAAAGUAGGCUCAGAGACAGGGGAAUAAAAGACCAGGCCCCAUGAACACAGCAUAUUGUUUCAUUUUAAAGUAUGAUUCCCAUACCAGAGAAAGUAGCAAAUGUGAUGUAAAUUUAUUUAAAUAGAUUCGACCGCUUAAAAGUUUGCCAGCCGCUCUUAUCCAACUUUCCCAGCUCUCUGAUUCGUUACUUACAGUGGGAAUAUAAUGACAUAUAGUCAUCAUUGUAACAGCUUCUUUGCAGGGGCACAAUGAUGAUUAAUAGCCAGCAGCAAAUUUUCACAUGGGCUCUGAAGCACUAUGGCAUUAAGCAGCCAAACAGUCCCAAAUCCCCCUUUUCUGUUCCGCUGAAAAGUCCCCUCCUUGUACCUUCCAGAUAGGAACAAAGCCUAUCUUAAUUCCAAUCAGCUUUUCGUCAUUCAAAGGGACCUUCUCUUUUUCAUAAUUGAUUCAUGUGCAUUUUUUAGUGU